UACGGGAGGCAGCAGUGGGGAAUUUUGGACAAUGGGGGCAAUCCUGAUCCAGCCAUGCCGCGUGAGUGAAGAAGGCCUUCGGGUUGUAAAGCUCUUUCAGUUGGGAAGAAACGGGGUUCUCUAAUACAGGGCUCUAAUGACGGUACCGACAGAAGAAGCACCGGCUAACUACGUGCCAGCAGCCGCGGUAAU
rnacentral:rRNA from 1 species